GGGAUGACACUCUCCACCUUUUGUGUAUACGGAGGCUCUAGAAAUGCGCUUCGGCGUUCUUUACGACGAAGCCUCGGUCUUCUUGUCUAAAAUGAUGCUCAAUCGGCCUUAUUUUGCCGAUAGCUCUUGACCCACUGGACAAAUCGCAAUUCCGACUUCGCCCCCGCGUUUCGUUACCUAACAAUUAGGUUUACAUGGUCUCAAAUGAGAUCAAUCUCAUACUUUACCAAAAGCCCCCAUUUGGAGCCCUAGGGUUCCCAUCUUGCCAUUUGCAUUUUGGAACUCUAACUCUAGCUUCAAUCCACCAACAAUGGUGCUAGGGGUCCAUUUGACCCCAAUUCCAAAGCUCAAAACCCAAAAACCCUAAGUUUCACAACUAGGGCUAGAAGCUUACCUCUUAGGCUAGCUAGCUCCAAAGAGAGGAGAGAGAGGUCCACAGCUCUUCUAGC
rnacentral:lncRNA from 1 species